AGUGAACGCUGGCGGUAGGCCUAACACAUGCAAGUCGAACGGCAGCACAGUAAGAGCUUGCUCUUACGGGUGGCGAGUGGCGGACGGGUGAGGAAGACAUCGGAAUCUACUUUUUCGUGGGGGAUAACGUAGGGAAACUUACGCUAAUACCGCAUACGACCUACGGGUGAAAGCAGGGGAUCUUCGGACCUUGCGCGAUUGAAUGAGCCGAUGUCGGAUUAGCUAGUUGGCGGGGUAAAGGCCCACCAAGGCGACGCUCCGUAGCUGGUCUGAGAGGAUGAUCAGCCACACUGGAACUGAGACACGGUCCAGACUCCUACGGGAGGCAGCAGUGGGGAAUAUUGGACAAUGGGCGCAAGCCUGAUCCAGCCAUACCGCGUGGGUGAAGAAGGCCUUCGGGUUGUAAAGCCCUUUUGUUGGGAAAGAAAAGCAGCAGGUUAAUACCCCGCUGUUCUGACGGUACCCAAAGAAUAAGCACCGGCUAACUUCGUG
rnacentral:rRNA from 1 species